UGAGGGAUAUUGGUCAAUGGGCGCAAGCCUGAACCAGCGACGCCGCGUGGGUGAAGAAGGUCUUCGGAUCGUAAAGCCCUUUUCCCACUGAAGAGGAAGGACGGUAGGUGGGGAAGAAGUCUCGGCUAACUACGUGCCAGCAGCCGCGGUAAAACGUAGGAGACAAGCGUUAUCCGGAGUUACUGGGCGUAAAGGGCGUGCAGGUGGCGUCUUAAGUCUGUUGUGAAAGCGCCUGGCUUAACCGGGCGAGGGCAAUGGAGACUGAGAGGCUGGAGGACGGCGGAGGGGUGUGGAAUUCCGGGUGUAGUGGUGAAAUGCGUAGAGAUCCGGAGGAACACCAGAGGCGAAGGCGGCACUCUAGGCCGUACCUGACACUGAGACGCGAC
rnacentral:rRNA from 1 species